rnacentral:tRNA from 1 species
GGUGGCUCAGUGGUAGAGUGCUUGCCUCGUGUGCAUGAGGCCCUGGGUUUGAUUUCUCAGUACCA